rnacentral:rRNA from 1 species
UGGGAACGUACCUUUUGGUUCGGAACAACACAGGGAAACUUGUGCUAAUACCGGAUAAGCCCUUACGGGGAAAGAUUUAUCGCCGAAAGAUCGGCCCGCGUCUGAUUAGCUAGUUGGUGAGGUAAUGGCUCACCAAGGCGACGAUCAGUAGCUGGUCUGAGAGGAUGAUCAGCCACAUUGGGACUGAGACACGGCCCAAACUCCUACGGGAGGCAGCAGUGGGGAAUAUUGGACAAUGGGGGCAACCCUGAUCCAGCCAUGCCGCGUGAGUGAUGAAGGCCCUAGGGUUGUAAAGCUCUUUUGUGCGGGAAGAUAAUGACGGUACCGCAAGAAUAAGCCCCGGCUAACUUCGUGCCAGCAGCCGCGGUAAUACGAAGGGGGCUAGCGUUGCUCGGAAUCACUGGGCGUAAAGGGUGCGUAGGCGGGUCUUUAAGUCAGGGGUGAAAUCCUGGAGCUCAACUCCAGAACUGCCUUUGAUACUGAAGAUCUUGAGUCCGGGAGAGGUGAGUGGAACUGCGAGUGUAGAGGUGAAAUUCGUAGAUAUUCGCAAGAACACCAGUGGCGAAGGCGGCUCACUGGC